AGUAAGAUGCCUGAAUCAAAAGGAUUAUUUUGAUAGAAUAAAUCAUGUAGAAAUAACUACUCUUACUA
rnacentral:tRNA from 1 species